GGACCGCUGGCUCAGUUGGUAGAGCAUGGUGUUUGCAACGCCAGGGUUGUGGGUUCGAUUCCCACGGGGGACCA
rnacentral:tRNA from 1 species